AACGCACAUUGCGCCCUUUGGUAUUCCGAGGGGCACGCCUGUUCGAGCGUCAUUUAAACCAUCAAGCACGGCUUGGCUUUGGGCGCGGUCUGACGACCCGUCUGCAACUAGUUGGCGGUACCGUCCGGCUUCAAGCGUAGCAAGUUUACACCCUCGCUUAGGAGCUCUGGCGGCGCCUGCCGGGUGACAGCAUUUAAAGUUUGACCUCGGAUCAGGUGGGGAUACCCGCUGAACUUAA
rnacentral:misc_RNA from 1 species